AGGAAUAUUGAACAUGCAUUAAGUUUUUCCCCUUCUCUAGGAAUGAGUUGUUCAUUAGUAGGCAACGCAGUAGGUGGUUUACCCCCUGCAGAUGAUGGCGUUCUUUUCUGAUUACAAUGAUUGAUUUCUUUAUUCAAUUCUGCAGACAAAACAUCUAGCUGAGCUCAGAUUAUACACUCUAAUUCAACACUGAAGUAUAGAUGUAUAAUAUAUGUUGUCUUACAGUGUGUGCAGACGCAGCUUCUAGUUGAGCUAAACUCCCAUUUCUGGCACUGGAACUAAGUCUCUGUAUAGAUGUAUAAUAUAUGUUGGUUUUAUUUGCAGAGCACUUUUUGGUUUUCGAACCGAAAAAGGGUUGUUGAAGAAAAUUAAAAUGAGCACCAAGUUGAUACAGAUACAAUGUCCUCGGCAAAAGAAUGUCAUGGAUUCUGGAUAUUAUGUCAUCAGAUACAUGAAAGAGAUCAUCGACCAUAAGCAAACUCGAAUAUUUGAAGAUUACUUUCAUGAUUGCAAUGUUCCGAAUUAUGAUCAAGGACAAAUUUAUGAAGUCAGAGCUCAUUGGACGCGUCAUGUUCUUCUCAUGUGAAUGUUGU